rnacentral:sRNA from 1 species
GGCGGGUGUGGUGGUGCACACCUGCAAUUCCAGUGACUUGAGGCUGAGGCAGGAGGAUGGCAAGUUUCAGGCCAGGCUCUCAGCAAUUUAGCGAGGCCCUAUCUCAAAAAAAAAAAAAAAAGGGUUGGGGAUGUGGCUCAGUGGUUAAACACAGCUGGGCUCAACCCCCCAGUACCAAAAGGAAAAAAAAAAUGUCAGGGGCUUGUGGUAGUACUGACCUGUAGAGGCUGAGGCAGGAGGAUCACUUAAGCCCAGGAGUUCCAGCAUGGUCUGGGCAAUAUAGUGAGAACCUGUCUCUA